UUAGAUAAAAAGCCAGUUCAUGCUUUUACAGUAUGAAAAUUGGUGAUUUAUAAUAACUUAGCAAAUCGCAAAGUGAAAACAGGCGAUAAAUCAUUCAAGUUUCUGACCUAUCAGCUUUCGACGGUAUGGUAUUGGCUUACCGUGGCAGUGACGGUUAACGGGGGAUUAGGGUUCGAUUCCGGAGAGGGAGCCUGAGAAACGGCUACCACAUCUAAGGAAGGCAGCAGGCGCGCAAAUUACCCAAUUCUAACAGUUUGAGAGAGGUAGUAACAAGAAAUAACAAUACAAGGCAGUUAAAAUGCUUUGUAAUUGGAAUGAUAGAAAUUUAAACCCUUUUUAAAGUAUCAAUUGGAGGGCAAGUCUGGUGCCAGCAGCCGCGGUAAUUCCAGCUCCAAUAGCGUAUAUUAAAAUUGUUGCAGUUAAAAAGCUCGUAGUUGAAGUUCUGCUGAAAGUAACCGGUCUGCUUUUAAUAAAAGUGGUAUCUUGGUAUGUAUUUAGCAAUGAUGUCCUUUGAAGUGUUUUUUACUUUAUUGUAAUAAAGCAUAUUCAGGACUUUUACUUUGAGAAAAUUAGAGUGUUUCUAGCAGGCUAACGCUUUGAAUACUGCAGCAUGGAAUAAU
rnacentral:rRNA from 1 species